GACGAAGGAUGCAAGCGUUAUCCGGAUUCAUUGGGUUUAAAGGGUCCGUAGGCGGUUUAAUAAGUCAGUGGUGAAAUCUGGUCGCUUAACGAUCAAACGGCCAUUGAUACUGUUAGACUUGAAUUACUGGGAAGUAACUAGAAUAUGUAGUGUAGCGGUGAAAUGCUUAGAUAUUACAUGGAAUACCAAUUGCGAAGGCAGGUUACUACCAGUGGAUUGACGCUGAUGGACGAAAGCGUGGGGAGCGAACAGG
rnacentral:rRNA from 1 species